rnacentral:rRNA from 1 species
GGUCGAACGCAGUAGCAUACUGAGUGGCAAACGGGUGAGUAUAAUGUGGGAAUCUGCCUUUUGGUUUGGAAUAACACGGGGAAACUUGUGCUAAUACCGGAUAAGCCCUUACGGGGAAAGUUUUAACGCCGAAAGAUGAGCCUGCACUUGAUUAGCUAGUUGGUAAGGUAAUAGCUUACCAAGGCAACGAUCAAUAGCUGUUCUUAGAGGAAGACCAGCCACAUUGGGACUGAGACACGGCCCAGACUCCUACGGGAGGCUGCAGUGGGGAAUCUUGCACAAUGGGGGAAACCCUGAUGCAGCGAUGCCGCGUGAGUGAAGAAGGCCUUUGGGUUGUAAAACUCUUUCGUCGGGGAAGAAAAUGACUGUACCCGAAUAAGAAGGUCCGGCUAACUUCGUGCCAGCAGCCGCGGUAAUACGAAGGGACCUAGCGUAGUUCGGAAUUACUGGGCUUAAAGAGCUCGUAGGUGGUUAAAAAAGUUGAUGGUGAAAUCCCAAGGCUCAACCUUGGAACUGCCAUCAAAACUUUUCAGCUAGAGUAUGAUAGAGGAAAGCAGAAUUUCUAGUGUAGAGGUGAAAUUCGUCGAUAUUACAAAGAAUACCAAUUGCGAAGGCAGCUUUCUGGAUCAUUACUGACACUGAGGAACGAAAGCAUGGGUAGCGAAGAGGAUUAGAUACCUCGUAG